UACGUAGGCAGCAAGCGUUGUUCGGAGUUACUGGGUGUAAAGGGUGCGUAGGCGGCUUUUUAAGUUUGGUGUGAAAUCUCCCGGCUCAACUGGGAGGGUGCGCCGAAUACUGAGAGGCUAGAGUGUGGGAGAGGAAAGUGGAAUUCCUGGUGUAGCGGUGAAAUGCGUAGAUAUCAGGAGGAACACCGGUGGUGUAGACGGCUAUCUGGACCGUAACUGACGCUGAGGCACGAAAGCGUGGGUAGCAAACAGG
rnacentral:rRNA from 1 species